rnacentral:antisense_RNA from 1 species
CUUCAGGCUCCCCAGCCACAGCGGCUCGCCGGCCGGCCGGCCCUGCCCGUAGGUGGCCAGCAGCGCCUGCGCCUC